rfam:Methylocaldum sp. 175 genome assembly, contig: JC06DRAFT_unitig_0_quiver.5
GGGUCUGUAGCUCAGUUGGUCAGAGCGCACCCCUGAUAAGGGUGAGGUCGGAGGUUCAAAUCCUCCCAGACCCA